UCAUUAUGGCUAUAGAGUUUAUAUAUUUGUCUGCGUAGCUAUCAUUAUGGCUAUAGAGUUUAUAUAUUUGUCUGCGUAGCUAUCAUUAUGGCUGUACAGUUUAUAUAUUUGUCUGCGUAGCUAUUAUUAUGGCUGUACAGUUUAUAUAUUUGUCUGCGUACCUAUCAUUAUGGUUACGUCAAAGUUUAUAUAUUUCAAUUUAGAUAUUAUUAUUUUAGUCUCUUCCUCUGUCUAUUUCUCUCUCUCUCUCUCUCUCUCACUCUUUCUCUCUCUCUCUCUCUCUCUCUCUCUCUCUCUCUCUUGUGAUUAUAUUAUGUUGUUCAUUAAUAAAAAGAUUGCAGCGAAAAUACUUGGAAGAAUAGAAGAUACAUUGAAGUUGCAUGAUAAAAUGAAGAAACAUGAGGGCAAAAAGAAGAAUGAGCAGCACUACAUGUAUUGGCAGCAUUAUUGCGCCGCACUUAUGUGCUUAUUAUUGGCAGCAGUGUUGCGCCUUAUAUGUGAAGACAGAUAACAGAAAGGAGUAAAAAUGGAUGGACAUCAAUAGAGCUAAUAAGAUUCUAGUAUCAAAAUAAAGCAGACAAGAAGGAUUUCAAGAAGAAAGAAGAUAAAUCAAGAAUUUGUUUAUAUUUUAAAUU